AGUGGCUGGUGCUGGGCUGGAUCUGCCUCCAGCAAGUGCAGGGGGUGGUGGCUGUGCCCAGCAUCCCUGGCCCUGCCAGCACAGGAUCUGGACGCGGUGUGUGGGUCUGGACCGUGUCCUGCCGUGGCAUGUGGCCCUGCAGCCCAUUUCCCUGCUCCAGGCAGGGCUGCGGCUGCCACGGGGGACCCGCACCGAGCCCUGCAGCCUGGUCCUGCCCCGGGAACAAAGCCCAGCUAAACACGAAACGUUUGGGACAGUUGCCAUCGCCGGGGGCCCCUUCGGACAGAGACACCCCAACCCCGAGCGGCUGGCACGCAGCCCAGCAGCGGGGGGGAAACGCUCCUGAAGGACACAGACAUCCCUCUUGCACGUCCUGCACAAAGCCCCCUCCUCUCUGCUGGGAGAAAACAGGGGCCGAGGGACGGAUUGGAAUAAACCUCCCCCUCCCGAGCGGCCCCGGUGGCGGCACGGGGGCUGUUUGCCUUCCC